rnacentral:rRNA from 1 species
UACGUAGGUGACAAGCGUUGUCCGGAUUUACUGGGCGUAAAGAGCGCGCAGGCGGUCGAUCAAGUCGAGUGUGAAAGCCCCCGGCUCAACUGGGGAGGGUCAUUCGAUACUGAUCGACUCGAAGGCAGGAGAGGGUAGUGGAAUUCCCGGUGUAGUGGUGAAAUGCGUAGAUAUCGGGAGGAACACCAGUGGCGAAGGCGGCUUUCUGGUCUGCUCUUGACGCUGAGGCGCGAAAGCUAGGGUAGCAAACGGG